UACAGAGGUCUCAAGCGUUGUUCGGAUUCAUUGGGCGUAAAGGGUGCGUAGGUGGUGAUGCAAGUCUGUCGUGAAAUCCCCGGGCUCAACCUGGGAAUGGCGAUGGAGACUGCAAGGCUAGAGUUUGGCAGAGGGGGGUAGAAUUCCACGUGUAGCAGUGAAAUGCGUAGGGAUGUGGAGGAACACCGAUGGCGAAGGCAGCCCCCUGGGUCAAAACUGACGCUCAUGCACGAAAGCGUGGGGAGCAAACAGG
rnacentral:rRNA from 1 species